UAAAAACUUAAAAUUUAAAAGACUUGACGGUACUUCACACCAACCUAGAGGAGCCUGUCUAAUAACCGAUAACCCACGAUCAACCCAGCCUUUUCUAGCCUUACAGUCUAUAUACCGCCGUCGCCAGCUUACCUUGUGAAAGAAGCAAAAUAAGCCAAACAGUAUUACACUAAUACGACAGGUCGAGGUGUAACUAAUGAAAAGGAUAAAGAUGGGCUACAUUUCUUAAACCAAGAUAGACGAACAGACUAUGAAACUAGAAACUGAAGGUGGAUUUAGCAGUAAGAUAAGAACAAAAUACUUACCCGAAAUUAACGCAAUGAAGUGCGC
rnacentral:rRNA from 1 species